UACGUAGGGGGCAAGCGUUGUCCGGAAUCAUUGGGCGUAAAGAGCGUGUAGGCGGCCCGAUAAGUCCGCUGUGAAAGUCCAGGGCUCAACCCUGGAAUGCCGGUGGAUACUGUCGGGCUCGAGUUCGGAAGAGGUGAGUGGAAUUCCUGGUGUAGCGGUGAAAUGCGCAGAUAUCAGGAGGAACACCGGUGGCGAAGGCGGCAUCCUGGACCGGCAUUGACGCUGAGGAGCGAAAGCCAGGGGAGCAAACGGG
rnacentral:rRNA from 1 species